AUUGAACGCUGGCGGCAGGCCUAACACAUGCAAGUCGAGCGAGCGGCGGACGGGUGAGUAAUGUCUGGGAAACUGCCCGUUGGAGGGGGAUAACUACUGGAAACGGUAGCUAAUACCGCAUACCAUCAGAUGUGCCCAGAUGAGAGAAGCUGGUAGGUGGGGUAACGGCUCACCUAGGCGACGAACCCCAGCUGGUCUGAGAGGAUGACCAUCCACACUGGAACUGAGACACGGUCCAGACUCCUACGGGAGGCAGCAGUGGGGAAUAUUGCACAAUGGGCGCAAGCCUGAUGCAGCCAUGCCGCGUGUGUGAAGAAGGCCUUCGGGUUGUAAAGCACUUUCAGCGGGGAGGCGUUACCCGCAGAAGAAGCACCGGCUAACUCCGUGCCAGCAGCCGCGGUAAUUC
rnacentral:rRNA from 1 species